rnacentral:rRNA from 1 species
AGAGUUUGAUCCUGGCUCAGGACGAACGCUGGCGGCGUGCCUAAUACAUGCAAGUCGAGCGAAUCAUUGGGAGCUUGCUCCCUUUGGUUAGCGGCGGACGGGUGAGUAACACGUGGGCAACCUGCCUGUAAGAUCGGGAUAACUUCGGGAAACCGGAGCUAAUACCGAAUAAUCCUUUUCGACACAUGUCGGAAAGCUGA